rnacentral:rRNA from 1 species
GAUGAACGCUGGCGGCGUGCCUAAUACAUGCAAGUCGAGCGAACGGACGAGAAGCUUGCUUCUCUGAUGUUAGCGGCGGACGGGUGAGUAACGCGUGGAUAACCUACCUAUCAGACUGGGAUAACUUCGGGAAACCGGAGCUAAUACCGGAUGAUAUUUUGAACCGCAUGGUUCAAAAGUGAAAGACGGUCUUGCUGUCACUUAUAGAUGGAUCCGCGCUGCAUUAGCUAGUUGGUAAGGUAACGGCUUACCAAGGCAACGAUGCAUAGCCGACCUGAGAGGGUGAUCGGCCACACUGGAACUGAGACACGGUCCAGACUCCUACGGGAGGCAGCAGUAGGGAAUCUUCCGCAAUGGGCGAAAGCCUGACGGAGCAACGCCGCGUGAGUGAUGAAGGUCUUCGGAUCGUAAAACUCUGUUAUUAGGGAAGAACAUAUGUGUAAGUAACUGUGCACAUCUUGACGGUACCUAAUCAGAAAGCCACGGCUAACUACGUG